rnacentral:lncRNA from 1 species
UCCCGGCGCAAGAACACGGGAGAAGUAGGCUCUGGGGUUGUUUGACAUACUUCUGGGGCACAACUUUCUUGCAGGUGCAAGGUUUCCAGAUCUGCCUGGGAAGUAUCUGGCUGAGAGGAAUCCAGUUCAGACUGGGAAGGUAAAAAACCCAAGUUUUCAUCUUCAUCAGGGAUUACAAUGUCCUGAGCAGGACUACAAGGCCCAUGGUUCAUCACAAUAUGAGAGUUAUGGCUUUAGGGUCAGAAGGAGAAGGAGAAGGAGAAGUCCAACCAUGCAUAGCCUAUAUAUGAGAGUUAUGGCUUUAGGGUCAAAAGAAGGAGGAGAAGGAGAAGGAGAAGUCCAACCAUGCAUAGCCUAUAUAUGAGAGUUAUGGCUUUAGGGUCAGAAGAAGAAGGAGAAGGGCAACC